CCAUUUUCGAGGCGAUUAGUUUACUAAGAGCCAAGAUGUUGGCAUCUUAGUGGCGGACGGGUGAGUAACGCGUGGGUAACCUGCCUUACACUGGGGGAUAACACUUAGAAAUAGGUGCUAAUACCGCAUAACAGAGGGAGUCGCAUGACUUCGUCUUAAAAACUCCGGUGGUGUAAGGUGGACCCGCGUCUGAUUAGCUGGUUGGCGGGGUAGCGGCCCACCAAGGCGACGAUCAGUAGCCGGCCUGAGAGGGUGAACGGCCACAUUGGGACUGAGACACGGCCCAAACUCCUACGGGAGGCAGCAGUGGGGAAUAUUGGACAAUGGGGGGAACCCUGAUCCAGCGACGCCGCGUGAGUGAAGAAGUAUUUCGGUAUGUAAAGCUCUAUCAGCAGGGAAGAAAGAAAUGACGGUACCUGACUAAGAAGCCCCGGCUAACUACGUGCCAGCAGCCGCGGUAAUACGUAGGGGGCAAGCGUUAUCCGGAUUUACUGGGUGUAAAGGGAGCGUAGACGGUAGUGCAAGUCUGGAGUGAAAGGCGGGGGCCCAACCCCCGGACUGCUCUGGAAACUGUGCGACUAGAGUGCAGGAGAGGUAAGUGGAAUUCCUAGUGUAGCGGUGAAAUGCGUAGAUAUUAGGAGGAACACCAGUGGCGAAGGCGGCUUACUGGACUGUAACUGAC
rnacentral:rRNA from 1 species